AUAACUUUUAAGCUUUUGGCUAAGAUCUUGUCUUGUAUCUAUUCUUAUCAGUUUAAUGUCUGAUGUGUCCUCUAUGCAAGGGCAGUAUAGUACAUGGAGAUUUGGAGCAGGGAGAUGAAAUAGGAGGUUACGCCAUCCAGUCCUCACAUUGACCUUGUACUGCAGUGCCUCCAGGUGUGUUGUAACCCCU